GGCUGGUUUGCUCAGUGGUUUGAGCGCAGUGCUGACAACAAUGACAACACUGGGAUCGCGGGUUUGAUUCCCGCUCAGUCC
rnacentral:tRNA from 1 species